UAGGGCUAUACGGACUCGAACCGUAGACCUUCUCGGUGUGUAAACGAGGUGCUCUACCUAACUGAGCUAUA
rnacentral:tRNA from 1 species